rnacentral:rRNA from 1 species
ACGGGGGGGGUAAGCGUUGUUCGGAAUUACUGGGCGUAAAGGGCUCGUAGGCGGCCAACUAAGUCAGACGUGAAAUCCCUCAGCUUAACUGGGGAACUGCGUCUGAUACUGGAUGGCUUGGAUUCGGGAGAGGAAUGCGGAAUUCCUGGUGUAGCGGUGAAAUGCGCAGAUAUCAGGAGGAACACCGGUGGCGAAGGCGGUUCUCUGGGCAUGUCCUGACGCUGAGGAGCGAAAGUGUGGGGAGCGAACAGGA